AGAAUCAACGCUGGCGGCGUGCCUCAGACAUGCAAGUCGAACGCGAAAUCCCGAGCAAUCGGGAAAGUAGAGUGGCGCACGGGUGAGUAACACGUAGGUAAUCUACCUUCGGAUGGGGGAAUAACAACCGGAAACGGUUGCUAAUACCGCAUAAUGCAGCGGCACCUAAUGGUGACAGUUGUUAAAGCGGGGGAUCGAAAGACCUCGCGUCUGAAGAGGAGCCUGCGGCGGAUUAGCUAGUUGGUAAGGUAAUGGCUUACCAAGGCAACGAUCCGUAACCGGCCGUGAGAGGGCGUCGGUCACGCGUGACACGUGACAUACGGGUCACGACUCCGUACGGGAGGCAGCAGUCGGGUAAUUUGGGCUAAGUGGGACGAAAGGCCUACGACC
rnacentral:rRNA from 1 species